UAAACAGGAGUGGAACUGCCAAAGCUGCCCUGGACUGGCCUGAUUCCACAGGAUUUGGGGGCAUUAAGUUUAAAAAGUAAUAGAAGGGGCUUCCCUGGUGGCUCAGUGGUAAAGAAUCCGCCUGCCAAUGCAGAAGACACU
rnacentral:lncRNA from 1 species